UACGAAGGGGGCUAGCGUUGUUCGGAAUUACUGGGCGUAAAGGGCGCGUAGGCGGUGUGUCAAGUCAGGCGUGAAAGCCCCGGGCUCAACCUGGGAACCGCGCUUGAGACUGGCACGCUCGAGUUCGGGAGAGGAUGGUGGAAUUCCAGGUGUAGCGGUGAAAUGCGUAGAUAUCUGGAGGAACACCGGUGGCGAAGGCGGCAUCCUGGACCGGUAUUGACGCUGAGGCGCGAAAGCCAGGGGAGCAAACGGG
rnacentral:rRNA from 1 species